UGUGAAGCGGGAUACAACCGGGCCAACUCUCACAUACAAGUUCUCCUGGCUCGCACUGCAGCAAUGCUGGUGAAAGGAUGAUGAAACAUGAGAAGGACUGACUGAAGAGAAAGAGCACAGAUGAACCUUGAACCCAGGACAGCUGCGUUGAAGAACGAAGCCUCCAUAUAUGGGUCGUGCACUCCACCACCACGCGCCCCCAUUGCAGCGGUAUUUUAAAGCACAACUGAGGUUCCGUUCCUUUAUCAAAAUUCAAGAACACAGGUAAACAAGACAGUCAGAGAGUGCAAACCUCUGCCAUCUAUGUAGGAUCACUAACGCCAUAGAUUACUUCUUGGCAAAGUCAUCUACUCCAAUUGAAUCCGGAAUUAUGCUGUAAUCAUGAAGAAGAUCAUGAAGAACAUGGACUUGACUUGGCAUAAUCAUGGAAAGGCUUGGCAUAAACAGAGUAAAACAAACCGGCCAUAGGUGAACAGAAACAGAGGUGUAUAUAUGGGGCAUGGCACAGGUGAAGCAAGGAGACUGAUUGGCAUGGUGCAGGUGGACCAAAGGAAGCUGAUUACAGAAUGACUGUGGCAAGGAAUGGAAACAAGAACAAGAAUGGGCAGAACAGAGAAGCAAUAAAAUAAUCUAACCAAAGAAAUAUCUUACAGAGCAUAAAUCAAAUUGCACUAAUAAAAAAAUAAUACAAAACAAAGCCUAAGGAGAGAAGUAAAGCACCACCUGGAAAUCAAUGAUCAGAAGCAAGACAAAACACUUGAAGAACUCAAACACUCUUAAAUCCUGAUAUAUAGGAAAGAACACAUGAUUACGUUUUACCAAAUUUGUAUCAAGCCUUUUUGCUUUUUUGUGGAGUUAGAUGCAAAAAUGUUAAAAAUGACCUUUUCCCAAAGGGGUGAAGAAUCCUUUAAAAAAAUCCUGGAUCCAGAUCUUGAUCUGGAUCACCACCAAAUUUUGUUGGAUCCUUCUUUGGGCUAAGACACACCUCUGAUAAAAAAUGAAUAAGAAUUCAUCUGUAACUUUUUGCAUAAAAUUGCUAACACACAGACAGACAUAGGUAACCACCUCAUAACUGCUCUAUGCUGAUGUAAUGAAGAUCAAAGAGACGUUUUAAAUAUUUAGGAUUUAUAUACUGAAAACCUGACAACAGUGACUUUUCUAGAAAGUACAGUGUUUGUUGGAACUACUUCUUCAGAUGAAGUACUUUCAUAGAAAAUAAACUAAUGCUAACUAAUAAGGUUUUUGGAUCAUCCACAAAUAAAUUAAUCUUGUUUUUUAAUAUUUAGCAUGAUCAAAAAGAUAUUUGGGGGGGCUUUACUGAAGUUCCAACAUGUGUUAUAAUAGGUGCAUUAUUACAAAAUACCCUUAAGAACUGCAAUGUAAGUUCC